rnacentral:misc_RNA from 1 species
AAGUCGUAACAAGGUAUCCGUAGGUGAACCUGCGGAUGGAUCAUUAACGAGAGCCAGUCGAGCUUUGCCCGUGUGGUGGAAGGAGUGUGUGCGUGGUGCGUCGUGGAGGCGCGCCAGCAGCACAGCAGCAAACGCGCGCAAACAUUGUGAUCGGAUGAGAGCAAAGCAACGCAACCGAAACAACUGCUAGCAACGGAUCACUCGGCUCUC